GAUGAACGCUGGCGGCGUGCCUAAUACAUGCAAGUCGAGCGAACAGACGAGGAGCUUGCUCCUCUGACGUUAGCGGCGGACGGGUGAGUAACACGUGGAUAACCUACCUAUAAGACUGGGAUAACUUCGGGAAACCGGAGCUAAUACCGGAUAAUAUAUUGAACCGCAUGGUUCAAUAGUGAAAGACGGUUUUGCUGUCACUUAUAGAUGGAUCCGCGCCGCAUUAGCUAGUUGGUGAGGUAACGGCUUACCAAGGCAACGAUGCGUAGCCGACCUGAGAGGGUGAACGGGCACACUGGAACUGAGACACGGUCCAGACUCCUACGGGAGGAAGCAGUAGGGAAUCUUCCGCAAUGGGCGAAAGGCUGACGGAGCAACGCCGCGUGAGUGAUGAAGGUCUUCGGAUCGUAAAACUCUGUUAUUAGGGAAGAACAAAUGUGUAAGUAACUAUGCACGUCUUGACGGUACCUAAUCAGAAAGCCACGGCUAACUACGUG
rnacentral:rRNA from 1 species